GGGCUUUUGUGAUGUUAAAUCAAUAUUAUCUUAGCGGAUCUCAGCAAGUCUUAUCGUCGACGAUCCGAUUGUUACACCUACUGAAGCCC